GCCUCAGCCCGCACCUUCCCAGCUGUGUGACCUCAGGCAAGCUACCUCACCUCUCUGUUCGGUUUCCUUGGCUACAUAUUGCAGAUCCUGGUGUCGAAGAUUUUGUACAGUCGAAAUCAGAACCUUCUAGAAGAGGCUUCGCAUGCUGCCUCGCUCAUGACUGACCCCAGGUCUUCAGUCCUUUCUCCAAAACCUCACAGGCUCCAAAAUUCAAAGUCCCCAGGACUUCAGAAAGGGACAGCGUGCCCGUCACGUCUAUCCUGUAGCACCGGCUACGUUCUCAGCAGCUCCCUGCCACCGGGCAUUAGCCUCCCAGCAAAGCGGGCGAACAGGCCGAUGCAUGUGAGAUGGGGUCGAGGCGACUCGGCUCAGAUCAGAAAGAACGUCGGCCCCGCUGCUCCCGAUUUGAGGCUGCUGCAGACGGGGCUGGUCUCAGCGGCAUGGAGGGGGUCACACAGGUGCCUAGAGCCCUGCAGUUGUUCCAGGCCACAGGCACAGAGGGUUUGUGCCCCUGUGGUUGCUGGCCAGACCCUGCCGGGGCAUCUGGAUUGAGCUCUGUUAGGCUUUUCACCGGUUCCGAGAGGAUGUGAGUGAGUUCUGUAGCCCAAGCCCGGUCCAUGGGUCUGUAAACGGAGACCGUGAUACUGACCACAGGCUCAUAAAAUGCAAAUGAUGGGAAUGAGGAGGGAGGGCGUGACGGAGAUCUAGCCAAUGGUGGGAGGGUCUCUGGGCCCGCCCAGCCCAGGCUCUCCUCCACUGGGCCGUCCUGAAGGAGGGUCUCCUUGUCUGAAAUCUCCCCUCCCAGGUGAGCCCCUCAGGGCAGGUGUUGGGAUUUUUCUCUCCAUAUUUCCAGUAGCUAGAAGAGUGCUUUGCAAAUAACGAGGACUCACUACACGUCUGCUGAGUGAAUGAAUGAUGGAAUUAAUUAUUUGGGAUGUACUCAAUGGUGUGGUGACUUAGUGGCAGAACAGUGAGCACAUCCCACGUCCUCCUGUCCCCAGGAGAGUGGCCUCGUGUUCUACUGUCCUCCAAGCAGCCAGCUUCAGCCAGUCACAACCACUGUGUCAAGGUCUGCGGCCCCAGCCACGCAUCCGUCCGCGACCUCAACGGAGCUGCCCGACGGGCAGGCCACCGGGAAACGACAACAGGACUGACGCCCACAGUGGGAUGUCACGGACGCAUGAGAGAAGAGAGCAAGAUCAGUGAUGGAUUGCCCAGGAUCACGGGAUUCUCAGUUGGACUCAUCUGGUCGUCAAUCCUAGCAGAGCCGCUGACCAGCCGGGGUCCUGGGGCAGGAGCCUUGACCCUCCCAGGAUCUUUGUUUGCUCUUUUGAGAGAAGAGAAUCAUGAAACGUGCCUCCCAGAGUUGUCGUGCAUAUUAAAAACCCGAAGUAAGCAACAGAAAGACGCCGUUAUUACUUUACUCUGCAGACAACAGCUCCUUAGAGCAAGAUGCCACCUUACACCGUCACCAUAAUUAGGUUAAUUGCUUUAAUAUCUAUCGCAAUUAAAGCACCUAUAUUUGUCUCGGGCAUCUUAUCACAUAUCGCUUGAUACCGUCCUGAAUGACACUCUGGGACUUUGAUCAAGCCUGUGAUUGACAGAUGGCAGACACCAAUUAAGGAGCAACCAGAUUAGUUUUUCCUCCUGGCCUCUUCCUAGGAAUGUGCUCUUCCAACCCUCUCAGACUGUUGAAACCCUACCCACUCUUUGAAGAGCCGGUUAAAAUGAGACAUUCCCUAGGAACACGUUCUUUCUUGUCCCCAGCUGUAGAUGUUCUCGUCCCACUGUGCCUCUGUAAGACCCCAUCACGGAAUCACAAUGCACGUGGACUUCUCUCGGGCCCCUUCUAGAUUUUUCUGAGAGAAGAGAGAGCGCACACGCACAAGCAGGGGUGCGGGGUGGAGGGCAUGCCGAGGGAGAGAGAGAGAGGAUCUUAAGCAGGCUCCAUGCCCAGCUCAGAGCCUGAUGCAGGACUCCGUCUCACAACCCCGAGAUCAUGACCUGAGGUGGAAACAAGCAUCAGCAUCAGUCACUUAACCGACUGAGCUGCCCAGGUGCCCCCUCUCAUCCCCCUUCUUGACCUGGGGCAUCUGGAGGGCAAAGGCCAGGUCUGACUCCUCUUUGUCCCUCUGCUACUCGACACCGAAAUUGGCUCUGAAAAUGAGCCCAGCAACUGAGCCACCCCAUUAUAUAAAGCUGUGAGAAGUAAGAAGACUGCUAGAUCCUGAGCUGGGAAAGCAAACACUAAACACGAAACACAUCGUCUCUCUUUUCGGUGGGACACGUUCAGACGGAGACUGUGCCCACGUGUUCACCUUGACCAUCAUACCUUCCCAGAGAGGUGUGCGGCCUCUGCAGUUGCUAGGAACUUUCCCCAGAACGCCAGGGCAUGGAGAAUGUUGACAGGGUCAAGUUCUCAAUCAUGGGCUUCUAAAUACUCUUUCCUCCGAUCCUACACAAGAGCAGAGCCGUGGUAGAGACUAGCCUCAGGGUGCCUCUCAUCUCAGGUCCCCGUUCACGGGCACCCUUCUCCCGCCAUACAAGAGAAGGACACGCCCCUUCUCACCCCAAAUCUUCCCAUAUUGUGCUGCCUCGGAGCACAGAACGAGGAGGCAUGGCAAUUAUCAGUGUCCAGAGCCUCCUCGGAUCAUGGCAUUAAAACCACUUGCUCCAUCUCACAAAGACAUAACAUCCAAGACAAUUUACUUUUGCAUUUACUUAAUAAGUAGGAAAGUUUGUAAUACCUUUAAAUUGCCAAUUAAAAUUAUUGUAACAGUACUCCAAUGCAGAAAAAAAAUGGUACCACGUAAGAGCCU
rnacentral:lncRNA from 1 species